UUGUCAAGUAUUAACGCGUUGUCUGCGACCUGUCUAACCAACGAAUAUGAGGGGCUGUCCGGGGUCUUCGAUUUUUUUCUCCGUACAUCAUCCCAGAUUAAUUCCUGUUUUCUCCCUGUUUGAUUUACAAUUUUUCCCGAUUUUCUGAAUUAUUUGUCAAUUUUUCCGCCCCUGAAUGAGUGUAGGCCCCGAAAAAUAAUUGUCCUAUCUCCGAACAAACCCGUAAAAGUAUUGACCCUUCGUUGCACAUUUUUCAGGGGAAAAAACACCAAAGACUACAGUCUUUGCACAUUUUUCGGGGGUGAAAAACACCAAAGACUACAGUCUUUGCACAUUUUUCGGGGUGAAAAACACCAAAGACUACAGUCUUGGCACAUUUUUCGGGGUGAAAAACACCAAAGACUACAGUCUUUGCACAUUUUUCGGGGUGAAAAACACCAAAGACUACAGUCUUGGCACAUUUUU
rnacentral:misc_RNA from 1 species